rnacentral:snoRNA from 1 species
UAGCAAGUGUCCAUUACGCAGAGGCGGUUGUCUCUUGUUGUUUAGUUUAGCUUGCAAAAUUAAAAUUACAUCUCGAAGACAGAAGCUUCGUUUUUUAGAUCUUCUGUUCAAGAUUGUCAAACAAUU